rnacentral:rRNA from 1 species
AUGAUGUCGAGUGGCGGACGGGUGAGUAAUGCUUGGGAACUUGCCUUUGCGAGGGGGAUAACAGUUGGAAACGACUGCUAAUACCGCAUAAUGUCUUCGGACCAAACGGGGCUUCGGCUCCGGCGCAAAGAGAGGCCCAAGUGAGAUUAGCUAGUUGGUGAGGUAAAGGCUCACCAAGGCAACGAUCUCUAGCUGUUCUGAGAGGAAGAUCAGCCACACUGGGACUGAGACACGGCCCAGACUCCUACGGGAGGCAGCAGUGGGGAAUAUUGCACAAUGGGGGAAACCCUGAUGCAGCCAUGCCGCGUGUGUGAAGAAGGCCUUCGGGUUGUAAAGCACUUUCAGUUGUGAGGAAAAGUUAGUAGUUAAUACCUGCUAGCCGUGACGUUAACAACAGAAGAAGCACCGGCUAACUCCGUGCCAGCAGCCGCGGUAAUACGGAGGGUGCGAGCGUUAAUCGGAAUUACUGGGCGUAAAGCGCACGCAGGCGGUUUGUUAAGCUAGAUGUGAAAGCCCCGGGCUCAACCUGGGACGGUCAUUUAGAACUGGCAGACUAGAGUCUUGGAGAGGGGAGUGGAAUUCCAGGUGUAGCGGUGAAAUGCGUAGAUAUCUGGAGGAACAUCAGUGGCGAAGGCGACUCCCUGGCCAAAGACUGACGCUCAUGUGCGAAAGUGUGGGUAGCGAACAGGAUUAGAUACCCUGGUAGUCCACACCGUAAACGCUGUCUACUAGCUGUUUGUGACUUUAAGUCGUGAGUAGCGAAGCUAACGCGA